AAAGACCUUGUCCUCAAGGUCGUGGUUGAGCCACAAACUUUGGAAAUCGAUGCUUGAUAUAGCUCCAAUCCUCCCAAGAUGCUUCAUUUUCACUAAGAUUAGCCCACUGAACCAAUAGUUUCACUCUAACUCCAUUGUUGACCCUUACAAUUUUCCUCUGAAGAAUGGCGAUUGGUUGAAUCAAAACAUUUCCUUCAAUAUCGUAGAGAGGAGGUUGUUGUGCUGGAAUAAUGGUGGGACCUAUGCAACGCUUCAGCUGCGAGACAUAAAACACUGGGUGUAUUUGCAACCCAGGUGGAAUCUUUAAUCGGUAAGCUACAGAUCCUAUUUUCUAUUCAAUAUUAUAUGGGCCAUAGUAUUUGGAACACAAUUUCACAUUUUUGCCCACAUCUAUAGAGGAUUAUCGAUUAGGCUGUAGCUUUAGGUAAACUUGG
rnacentral:lncRNA from 1 species